UGGGGAAUAUUGCACAAUGGGCGAAAGCCUGAUGCAGCGACGCCGCGUGAGUGAAGAAGUAUUUCGGUAUGUAAAGCUCUAUCAGCAGGGAAGAAAAUGACGGUACCUGACUAAGAAGCCCCGGCUAACUACGUGCCAGCAGCCGCGGUAAUACGUAGGGGGCAAGCGUUAUCCGGAUUUACUGGGUGUAAAGGGAGCGUAGACGGCGAAGCAAGUCUGAAGUGAAAACCCAGGGCUCAACCCUGGGACUGCUUUGGAAACUGUUUUGCUAGAGUGUCGGAGGGGUAAGUGGAAUUCCUAGUGUAGCGGUGAAAUGCGUAAAUAAUAGGGGGAACACCAGUGGCGAAGGCGGCUUACUGGACGAUAACUGACGUUUAGGCUCGAAAGCGUGGGGAGCAAACAGG
rnacentral:rRNA from 1 species